rnacentral:rRNA from 1 species
GAUGAACGUUGGCGGCGUGCCUAACACAUGCAAGUCGAACGGAAAUAGCAAUAUUUGAGUGGCGCACGGGUGAGUAACACGUAGCUAAUCUACCUCAAAGCGCGGGAUAACGUGUCGAAAGACAGGCUAAUACCGCAUAAGCUCGCGAUCUGUAGAGGGUUGCGAGAAAAGGCGCAAGUCACUUUGAGAUGAGGCUGCGGCCCAUCAGCUAGUUGGGGUGGUAAAAGCACACCAAGGCGACGACGGGUAGGGGACCUGAGAGGGUGACCCCCCACACUGGGACUGAGACACGGCCCAGACUCCUACGGGAGGCAGCAGUGAGGAAUAUUGCACAAUGGGCGCAAGCCUGAUGCAGCGACGCCGCGUGGGUGAAGAAGGUUUUCGGAUCGUAAAACCCUUUUCUGUGUGACGAGCAAGGACGGUAGCACAGGAAUAAGUCUCGGCUAACUACGUG